GGGGAUGUGGCUCAGAGGUAGAGCACUUGCCUAGUGUGUAUGAGGCACUGGGUUUGAUCCUCAGCACCA
rnacentral:tRNA from 1 species